GGGAGUCGAUUGAAUCAGGCUCAUAACCUGAAGGUCGUAGGUUCAAAUCCUACUCCCG
rnacentral:tRNA from 1 species